GCAAGUCACAACCCCACCCCAUCAUCAGCCUCGAGUUCAAACUUUGUUCUGUAGAAGGAUACAGAUACCAGAGUCGCACCAAAAGGCCUGAGUAGAAAAGAUGCAGAAGGCGGAGGAAACCGCUUUAAAUCCAUCAAAGGUAGCAAAAGAGACGAGAGAUGCCGAAGCUCAAACUCUACCUAAACCCAAGAGCAAACACAGGCGUAGAAACAUUUGUCUUGGGGUAACAGCGGCCGUCAUCGUCGUUUUCGUUCUAGUGGUGGUGAUCUUAGCUUUUACAGUGUUCAAAGCCAAAGAUCCUUCCACCACCAUCGACUCAAUCACUUUAGAUGGCCUGCGUUUCUCCUUAGACCCUUCCAUGAUGGGCGUCAAUCUGAAUAUGACCUUGGACGUGGAUCUCACCAUCACCAACCCAAACAAGGUGGGCUUCAAGUACAAAAACGGUUCUGCUUUGAUGUAUUACAAAAACGAACUUUUUGGGGAAGUUCCAAUUGCCGCCGGCAAGAUUAGCUCCGACGAUACCAAGCCCAUGAAUGUAACCGUCACGGUGAUGGCGGAUCGCUUGCUCAACAAUCCCCAGCUCUAUACAGAUGUUUCGUCGGGGGUCUUGAUUAUGAACGCAGUGAUCAAGAUUUCUGGUAAAGUUUUGAUUUUUAAUAUAUUUAAAGUGAGCGCGGACACCACUACAACCUGCGACGUCAGUGUCUUUCUUUCCAAUUCCACGAUUGGAGAACUGGACUGCAAGUAUAAGGCGAAGCUGUA
rnacentral:misc_RNA from 1 species